AAUCUCAGAAGAAACGUUUUGAGGAGGAACUCAACGAGAGGAUGAUUCGAACUUUUGAUGGCAUCAAUUCUCAAAAACAAUGGCUCAAAUCAGAGGACAUUCAGAGAAUAUCUUUGUUUUUCCACAAUAAAACAUUGGAAAAAGAGUAUAGAGCAAUGACCCUGCC